rnacentral:rRNA from 1 species
UAAGGGAUAUUGCGCAAUGGGCGAAAGCCUGACGCAGCAACGCCGCGUGGAGGAUGAAGGCCUUCGGGUUGUAAACUUCUUUUAGCAGGGACGAGGAAGGACGGUACCUGCGGAAUCAGUCACGGCUAACUACGUGCCAGCAGCCGCGGUAAGACGUAGGUGGCAAGCGUUAUCCGGAUUUACUGGGCGUAAAGGGUGUGCAGGCGGGGUUGCAAGUGGUGUAUGAAAUCUCCCGGCUUAACCGGGAUGGGUUAUGCCAGACUGCAAUUCUAGAGGACGAGAGAGGGGGGUGGAAUUCCGGGUGUAGUGGUGAAAUGCGUAGAGAUCCGGAGGAACCCCAGAGGCGAAGGCGGCCCCCUGGCUCGUUUCUGACGCUCAGCCACGAAAGCAUGGGGAGCGAAC